CUGGUUAAUCCUGGGUGUGCUUUGUCAUGAUCAUGUCAGCCUUUAAAAAUCACUACUGACCUGCAGAUCUCAAACACUGACGCUGAAACUGCUCCUGAGAAAAAGACAACCAGAAUUGGGAAAGAUCAGGUUUUUAACAGUAGCUUGUUGCAGUUUUGAUCGUCUUCAAAUGGAUAAAGUUGUGAAAUUUUGGCUUUAAAAAUUGUGCUGUUACUGAGGUCAAAUAUCUGUGAAGUCACACUUUGUAACGCAUUUUUACUGUUUGAAUAAUUCUCUGCUGAAUCUGUAACAUUAUGUUCUGUGUUGUUCACUUCAAUCCAAUAAAAGCAAGUGUGU